rnacentral:tRNA from 4 species
GGUAACGUGACCGAGCGGCUAGGUAGAGGUCUGCAAAACCUCCUACGGCGGUUCGAAUCCGCCCGUUACCUCCA